ensembl:miRNA xtr-mir-27c-1 xtr-mir-27c-2
CUCUAGAGAGGCAGGACUUAGCUGGCUCUGUGAACAGGUCUUGUGUGUCAAUGUUCACAGUGGCUAAGUUCCACCCCACUGG